UUUCUUUCAAAUAAAAAAACAAAGUGUGCUUUUAAAUUUCCAAACAUUUAAAAAUAUUUUGGUUAUUUAUUUCUAACUUUAUGACCUUGUACUCAGAAAACAUGAUGUAUAUAUAAUUCUUUAGUAUUUUUUAAGAUUUCUUACAUGAUCUGGUCCAUAGUCAAUUUUUGUAAGUAUUUUCUAGGUUAUCUUUUUUAUUUUUUAAGGAAUACAAAUUUCAAAAGUACAACUUUAGGAGUAUAGUUAUUCUUCCCAUCAUACCCACCCUCUCACCCACACUCCCACCCCUUUUCCUCCUCCCUCUCCCCUUCCCAAUCCCAUUCUCCAUUAAGAUUUAUUUUCAAUUAAUUUUGUCCACAGAAGACCAACUCUAUACUAAGUAAAGAUUUCAACAUUUUGCGCACACUUGAACACACUCAAAAAAACUGUUUGGGAACUAGUUUUACAGUUAACUCUCAUAAUACAACUCACUGAGGACAGAGGUCCUACAUAGGGAGUUAGUUGCUGCAAAGUGACUCCUGUUUUUAAUUUAACAAUUAACACUUAUGUAUGGCAUCAGUGACCACCCGAGGCUCUUGACAUGAGCUGCCUAGGUAGCCUUUUGAAUCCAUAAACUCUGUCAGUAUUUAGACAAGGCCAUAAGCAAAGUAGAAGUUCUCUCCUCCCUUUGGAGAAAAGUACAUCCUUCUUUGAUGGCCACUUCUUUCCACUGGGGUCUUACCCACCAAGGUCCUUCAUGCAGAACAUUUUUUGCCAGUGUCUUAGCUUUCUAUGCCUGAAAUGCUCUCUCAGCCUUUUCAGCCAGAAAAGGAUGCCUUAAAGGCUGAUUCUGAGGUCAGAAUGUUACAUAAAGCAAUUGUCAUUCUAUGAGUCUGCUGUGUGGCCUGGUUCCCAUGUUGGAACAUUCUCUCCUUUAAUUCUAUCUAUUAUUAUUACCAGACAGUUGAUCCUAUUUAUAUGAUCACUUUAACACUUAAUCCUAUCUGUAUGUUCACUUUGAUACUUAAUAUGGGGCUGGUGCUGUGGCAUAGCAGGUAUAGCCGCUGCCUGCAGUGCCGGCAUCCCAUAUGGGCACCAGUUUGAGACCCGGCUGCUCCAGUUCUGAUCCAGUUCUCUGCUAUGGCCUGGGAAAGCAGUAGAAGAUGGCCCAAGUCCUUGGACCCCUGCACCCACAUGGGAGAUCUGGAAGAAGCUCCUGGCUCCUGGCUUCAGAUCAGUGCAGCUCCAGACAUGGCAGUCAAUUGGACAGUGAAACAGCGGAUGGAAGUCCUUUCUCUCUCCCUCUUUUCUCUGCCUCUCCUUCUCUCAUUGUGUAACUCUGACUUUCAAGUAAAAUAAACAAAUCUUUAAAAAAAAAUACUUAAUAUGAUCACUUUAACACUUAAGAUGGCAUUUUUACCACACAGCUUAAUGGGAUUUGGGGUCCCAUGACAAGUUUUUAAAUUGUACCCUUAGGAAUAAGUCCACAGAGGCUGGCGCCGCGGCUCACUAGGCUAAUCCUCUGCCUGCGGCGCCAGCAUGCCGGGUUCUAGUCCCGGUCCGGGCGCCAGAUUCUGUCCUGGUUGCUCCUCUUCCAAUCCAGCUCUCUGCUGUGGCCUGGGAGAGCAGUGGAGGAUGGCCCAAGUGCUUAGGCCCUGCACCCGCAUGGGAGACCAGGAUAAGCACCUGGCUCCUGGCUUCGGAUCAGUGCGGUGUGCCGGCCGCAGCGGCCACUGGGGGAUGAACCAAUGGCAAAAGGAAGACCUUUCUCUCUGUCUCUCUCUCUCACUGUCCACUCUACCUGUCAAAAACAAACAAACAAAAAACAAAAAAGAAAUAAGUCCAUAGGAAAGUAUACAGAACUAUACAGCUUUACAGUUACAAACUUCCUCCUCCCUCUCUUAUUCUCUUAUUUUUUACUGAGAUCCAUCCUCAAUUGACUUUAUACACAUAUGAUUAAUUCUAUGUUAAGUAAAGAGUUCAACAAAUAGUAUGAAGAAAAAAAAACUGAAAAAACAAAACAAAACAAAACAAAACAAAAAAGAAACUGUUCCUCAACAGUCAAGACAAGGGCAGUUCAAAUCAUCGCUUCUUGAAGUGUCAAUUUCACUUCUACAGAUUUUGUUUUAGGGACUCUAUUAGUUCUCAGAUAUCAGGGAGAACAUAUGGUAUUUGUCCCUUCGGGACUGGCUUAUUUCACUAAGGAUGAUGAUUUCCAGAUUCAUCUAUUUUGUUGCAAAUGACUGGAUUUCGUUUUUUUAAACAGCUGUGUAGUAUUCCAUAGUAUGCAUGUACCAUAAUUUCUUUAUCCAGUCUUUGGGGUGAUGGGCAUUUAGGUUGAUUCCAUGCCUUAGCUAUUGUGAAUUGAGCUGCAAUAAACAUGGGGGUGCAGAUAUCUCUUUUAUUUAUUGAUUUAAUUUCCCUUGGGCAAAUUCCCAGGAGUGGGAUGGCUGGGUCAUAUGGUAGGUCUAUAUUCAGCUUUCUGAGGUAACUCCAUACUGUCUUCCAUAGUGGCUUUACCAGUUUACAUUCCCACCAACAGUGGAUUAGGGUACCUUUUCUCCCCACAUCCUUGGCAGCAUUUGUUGUUUGUUGAUUUAUGUAUGAAAGCCAUUCCAACUGGGGUGAGGUGCAACCUCAUUGUGGUUUUGGCUUGCAUUUCCCUUUAUUAGUUGCAUAGUUUUCAAACAAAAUGAAAAUAAAUAAAUAAAUAUUGAAAGGUAUUUUUGUUUUUAUGAGAAAUAUGCCAUAAAUCUUAUUGUUAUUCUUUUGUCUUUGGUUGCUUUUGAAAUUUUUCUCUUUCUGGUAUUCUGUAGUUUUACCAUCAUUUGUAUGUGGAGUCUCCACCCGCACCGGGCUGCCUGUUCUUUCAGUGAGGGGUAUUAUAUCUUUAAGUAUAGAAAAGUUUGAUAUAUUAUCUUCUUUGAACAUUGCCUCUCCCUCAAUUUUUUAUUUCAAGAACUCUUUCUAAAGGUAAGCAAUACCUUCUGAUCAAGUCCUCUGUAUCUCUUAACUUUACUCACACAUUUCCCUUUCUCUUUAAUCCCUUUGCACUACAUUUGGUGUGAUUCAAAUCUAUUUUCCAGUUAGGAAAUCCUCUCUUUAGCUGUGUUUAACCUGCUGUUUAACUUGUUAUUUAAGCUUUUCAUUUCAGUGACACUAUUUUUUAUGUCUAAAAGUUUUAUUUGUAUUUUUUUAAAUCUGCCUAGGUUUUCUUUAUCAUGGCUUCUUUUUGGUUAUAUUUAUUUAUUUGUUUAAUUUGUAUUUCAUCACACAGUCUUAUAACUGUGUGUGUGUGUGAGUAUACACAUUUUGAUGCAAUUUUACCACAUGCAUACCUUUGUGUAUCUAUCACCACAAUCAAGACAUACAACUGUUGCAUUAUCUCAGGACUCCCUCAUGCUCUCUCUUUAGAGCCACUUUCUUCACAUUCCCACCUUAUCUUCAACCCCUGGUAACAAGUAAUCUGUUCUCUAUUUUUGUAAUUUUGUUAUUUUUUUCAAAUAUUUAUUUAUUUAUGAGCCAUAGCAAGAGAGAGAGAGGGAGAGAGAGAUCUUCUAUCUGGUGGUUCAUUCCCCAAAUGGUCACAACAGCCAGGUGUGGGCCAGGGUGAAGCCUGGAACCAGGAAAUCCAUCCUGGUCUCCCACAUGGGUGGCAAGGGCCCAAGUAUUCUGGUGAUAUUAUACUGCCUUCCUAGGGGCUUAGCAGGGAACUGGAUCAGAAAAAGAGCAGCCAGGACUCAAAUUGGCACUGUGAUAUGGGAUGCCAGUAUCACAAAUGGUGACUUAACCCACUGUGCCACAAUACCAGCCCCUAUAAUUUUUUUUAUUACUCUUUAUUAUCAUUUUAAGAAUGUUAUGUAAGAGGUGUAAUAUGAAACCUUCUGAUAUUGGCUGUCUUCACUCAGCACAAUUCCUUUGAGUUUUGUCCAAGUUGUGUGUAUCCUUAGCUCAGUCUUUUUAAUUACUGAGUAAUUCAGUAAUUCACUGAGUAGUUCAUGGUGUGCAUAUAUCAUAGUUGUUUAAUCAUUUACCAAUUGAAGGAUAUGUGACUUAUUUCCAAUUUAGAGCUAUUAUGAAUACUUGUGCACUGGUUUUAUGUGAACAUAAAUUUUCAUAUCUCUGGGAUAAAUGUCCAAGAAUCCAAUUGCUGGAUAAUGUUGUAGUUGCAUGUUGAAUUUCAAAAGAAAUAGCCAAAAUGUAUUCCAGAGUGGUUAUAUCAUUUAAUAUUCCCAGAAAUGUUUGAAUCACCCAGAGUCCCUGCAUCCUCAUUGUCCUUUGGUAUUAUCAUUGUUUUUCAUUUAACUCCUCUAACAGGAAUGCAGUCGUAUCUCACUGUUGGUAUGCCUUGCGUUUCUCUAGUGGCCGACAAUACUUAACGUCUUUUCAUGUGUUCAUCAUGAAGUGUCUGUUCAGGUCUUUCGAGCAUGUUCUAGUUGGGUUUUUUAACUGUUGAGUUUGGAGAGUUCUUGGAUAUUCCAGAUGCAAGUCCUUUGCUGCAUAUGUGAUUUGAAGGUAUUUCCUCCCAGUCUUUGGCCUCUCUUUUAAUCAUUUCUCUGAGUUGCAGAAGAGAAGUGUUAAUUUUUUAUGAAGUCCAAUUUAUCAAUUUUUUUCCUUUUAUAAAUUAUGCAUUUGCUAUUAACUCCUCAAUCAUUUUGACCUCAGUAUCUAGUAGUCUCUUUCUGAUUUGCUGUUAUAGAUAGUUCUUAGGUUACACAUUCUUUUCCUUGCUAUGGAUAUGAGCUCUCCCUCAUGCUGGUUCAUUUCUUCAUCUGUUUUGCAUGUAUGAGGUUUUAGGGUGGUAGGGAGAGGGAAUUCUUUUUCAUCUUUGCACCCUGAACUGUGGGAAUCAUUUUGAUGUUUUAUAUUUUUCUUUGCCAGAGCUAGAGAAAUUUUAUGGAUCCUAGACCAGUUUAGGGAUUUCUUUUUUCAAAUAAAUUAUUUAUUUAUUUAUUUGAAAGGCAGUUACACAGAAAGCUCUUCUGUCUGCUGAUUCAUUCCCCCAGAUGGCCACAACAGCCAGAGCUGGGAUGACCUGAAGCCAGAAACUUCUUCCAGGUCUCUCACAUGGGUGCAGGGACCCAAGCACUUGGGCCAUCCUCUGCUAAGCACAUUAGCAGGGAGCUGCAUAGGAAGUGGAGCAGCCAGAACUCAAACUGGUGCCCAGAUGGGAUGCCUGUGCCACAGGCAGUAGCUUUACUCACUAUGCCACAGCACUGGCCCCGGUUUGGGGAUUUCUAUACCUUAUGGGCACUUUUUUUUUGUUAUUUGACAGGUAGAGUUACAGACAGUGAGAGGGAGAGACAGAGAGAAAGGUCUUCCAUCUGCUGGUUCACUCCCCAAACGGCCACAACGGCCGGAGCUGCACUGAUCCGAAGCCAGAAACCAGGUGCUUCCUCCUGGUCUCCCACGCAGGUGCAGGAGCCUAAGCACUUGGGCCAUCCUCCACUGCCUUCUGGGGCCACAGCAGAGAGCUGGACUGGAAGAGGAACAGCCCAGACUAGAACCCGGUGCCCAUAUGGGAUUAACCAAGUGAGCCAUGGUGCUGGCCCCUUAUAGGCACUUAAAAUAUGGGUCCUGUUUCAGGCUGGCAGACUCUGUCAGGCCCGGGAAACCACUUGGUCUGGCCUUGCCACAGCAACCACAGGCAGGACUCAAAAUUCAAUAGAUCUGUAGCAGCCUGAUUUUAAGUUAAUACUUUUGUAUAUCCCUUGAAUGAUGUUAUAAAUAUAAAAAUGGCCCUUGGCAGAAAAAAGAUUUCCUAACCCCUGAACUAGGGUUGUUUUUUUUCCCAUUGGAGAUUUCAUCCAUCUCACAGAGAUCACAUAGAGAACUAAUUAGCAACUUCCGUGGGCCACCGGGAUAACUUGUUUUACUUCCUUUGUCAUGGACUUACACAGAAGUUAAUCAGCAAUUAAGCAGGCGUCCCAGUUCCAGCUCUUUGCCUUUCUCAAGUUCACAGUCUGUGCUUUUCUCCCUGUGUGGAUGUUCAGUCCUCGGCCUCCUGUCUUAAGUCCUCCUACCCAGAUCCGAUAUCCCACUUUCCAAGGUUCCUGUAUGAGAACUGGAAUUGAUUGCUCUGAUUUGAUUUACUUUUUGGUUUUGGCAUCUGUGAUUUCUCUUUUCUUCCUUCCUUUCUUCCUCCGUCCAUCCUUUCCUUCCUUCCUUUUAACCUUGACUGAUUACAUUUUUGUAUAAUUUUUAUAUAACCUUUUAAUGUAUUUGUAAUAGAGUUGACUAAGAUUAGCAUAGCAUCUUUUUUGUUGUUGUUGUUUGUUUGUUUUUUUGACAGGCAGAGUGGACAGUGAGAGAGAGAGACAGAGAGAAAGGUCUUCCUUUUGCCAUUGGUUCACCCUCCAAUGGCCGCGGCCGGUGCGCUGCGACUGGCACAUCGCGCUGAUCCGAAGCCAGGAGCCAGGUGCUUAUCCUGGUCUCCCAUGGGGUGCAGGGCCCAAGGACUUGGGCCAUCCUCCACUGCCUUCCCGGGCCACAUCAGAGAGCUGGCCUGGAAGAGGGGCAACCGGGACAGAAUCCGGCGCCCCGACCCGGACUAGAACCCGGUGUGCCGGCGCCACUAGGUGGAGGAUUAGCCUAUUGAGCCGCGGCGCCGGCCGUAGCAUAACAUCUUAUGUUGUCAGAACUGAACCACUUCAUGUAAGUAUUUUUUUUUUUUUAGAAAAAGAAAAGAUUUAUUUGAAAGUCAGAGUUACAAAGAAAGAGGGAGAGACACAGACAGAGAGAUGUUCCACCCACUGGUUCACUCCUCAGAUGGCCACAACAGCUAGGCUGAAGCCAGAAGCCGGGACCUUCUUCCAGGUCUCCCACAUAGGUGCAGGGGCCCGAACACUGUGCCAUCUUCUACGACUUUCCCCAGGCCAUUAGAAGGGAUCUGGAUUGGAAGUGGAGCAGCCAGGACAUGAACCAGCACCUAUAUGGGAUAUCGGCACUGCAGGGGGCACCUUUAUUUGCUAUGCCACAAUGCUGGGCCCUCAAGUAAGUAUUUUAAUCUUGAAGAUUAUACAGAAUUUGAGAUGAAGAGAAUGAAAACUUAAUGGAAAAAAUAAGAAGAGAUAAGAUAAGCAGUGAUGUUAAAACAACAAAAAUUUGACAGGGAAGCCCCAAAUAUUUCUCCACUAUUAAAAUACAGGUUUGGAUGGAAAGCACCACAUCUCCUCUGAUGGCUUCUUUCUCUGAUCCCAUUUCUGCCACUCUGCCCUUUUGUUGUCUCCUCUCCUUUGAUUCCCCAGGACAUGCUGAACACACAGGGUCCUGGCCUUGUUCCGAGCUUUGUUUUCUGUGUUUACUCCUCCUCAUACCCUCUCAUCCCCAAUCCUGAGCUAUAAUUUGAGAUCUCUUGUUCUAAACAUGAUGACUGGUUUCUGAUUACGCAGCCACUUCCCAUGCCUGUCAUGGGCCAGGCCGCCAGGCAGACCGGGCUUAUCUCAACAAUUUGAGUGCUAAUUUUACCCUUAAUCCCCAAAUUGCUUGCUAUUCUUAGGCUCCAAAAUCUUCAAGCCAAAAAAGUACAAAGCUAGUCUCAUUGUGGGAGAAUUUUGAUAAAUGGGGGGAAAAAAGGGUUCCACACAAGAGGCAAUGUGCAAGAAUUGCCACAGCUAGAGCAGAAGUUGAAAGGCCUUGUAUUGUAAGGUAAAAUCUUUUCUUCAUUCCCCUAAUUAAUUUUUUUAAGUCCGCAUACAUUUCUACUCCUCUGUAUUGUGUAAACAAUGAUGCUGCUUAGCACAGUGAUGCUGGGUGCGCUCGCUUGAUUGUGCAAUCCAAAAACAGUGGCGCCACAGAAGGUAGAAGAGUGGUUACCAAGGGCCAAUGGGGAGGGAAUGGGAAGAUGUUGUCCAAAGGAUACAAACUCUCAGUUAAAACACAAACAGGCCGGCGCCGCGGCUCACUAGGCUAAUCCUCCGCCUUGCGUCGCCGGCACACCGGGUUCUAGUCCCGGUCGGGGCGCCGGAUUCUAUCCCGGUUGCCCCUCUUCCAGGCCAGCUCUCUGCUGUGGCCAGGGAGUGCAGUGGAGGAUGGCCCAAGUGCUUGGGCCCUGCACCCCAUGGGAGACCAGGAGAAGCACCUGGCUCCUGGCCUUGGAUCAGUGCAGUGCGCCGGCCGCAGCGCGCUGGCCGCGGCAGCCAUUGGAGGGUGAACUAAUGGCAGAGGAAGACCUUUCUCUCUGUCUCUCUCUCACUGUCCACUCUGCCUGUCAAAAAAAACAAAAACAAAAACAAAAAAAACAAAAAAACAAACAAAAAACAAACAAAAACAAAAACAAAAAACCCACACAAAUUGGACUAGCUCUGUGGCUUAGCAGGUUAAGGCUGCCACCUGCACUGCUGGCUUCCCAUAUGGGCAUCCCAUAUGGUUUGAGUCCCGGCUGCUCCACUUCCACUGGGAAAGCAGUAGAAGAUGGCCCAGGUCCUUAGAACCCUGCACUCAUGUGGGAGACCCAGGGGAAGCUCCUGGCUCCUGGCUUCAGAUCGGUACAGCUCUGACCUCUCUCUCUCUCUCUGUCUCUACUUCUCUCUGAACUGUCUUUCAAAGAAAUAAAAUAAAUCUAAAUAAAUAAAUAAACAAAUCCUUAGUAUCUAAUGUAGAAGAUGGAUAGCAGUAUUCAUUGAUUUGACUGUGGUAAUCAUUACACAAUGUCCAUGUAUAUAAAACCAUCCUAUUACACACCUUGAAUAUAAAUGAUCUUUGUCAACAAAAUUUUUUUAAAAAAUUCUAAUCAUUUAUUCAAAAGGCAGAACAGCAGAGAGAGAGAGAGAGAGAGAGAGGUAGUUCCAUCUGCUAGUUCACUUCCCAAAUGCCCACAAUAGCCAGGGGUGGGCCAGCUGAAGCCAGGAGUCUGAAACUCCAUCCUGGUCUCCUAUAUGGGUGGCAGAGGCCCAAGUAAUUGGGCCAUCAUCUACUACUUUCCCAGGAGCAUUAGCAGGGACCUGGAUUGGAAGUGGAGAAGCUGGCACACCAACUAGCACUCCAGUAUGGGGUGUGGGUGAUGCAAGCAGUGACUUAGGCCACUGCACCACAAUGCUGGCCAAUGCAAUAUAUCUAAAAGUUAAAAUAAAAUGACUAAUGGUAAAAAAGAAAACAAAUAACAAUAAAAACCAAGAUUCUUCUUACUGAAGUUCUUUGAAGCAUUCCUACUGCAUUUAAAAUAAAAUUUAAAUUUUUUCUAGUGGCCUACAAUGACUUACACAGUUGGCCCCUGCCUGCUCUUCAACCUCAGAUCCGUGUCUUCCAUUUAAUAUAUAGAUUCAGAUCUUAUUUCUAUGCAGUUUUUUCUUAAAUUACAAUUUUAAAUAUAGUUUUGUUUUAAUGUUUUCAUUCUUUUUUAAAUAAGUUUAUUUAUUGAAAGAGAAUGAUAGAGGGGAAAGAGAGAGAGAGAGAGAGAGAGAUGUCAUCCAUAUACUGUCUCAUUCCCCCAGAUGCCUGCGCAGCCAGGGCUGGGCAGGCUGAAGCUAGGAUCCAGGAAUUCCAUUGGGAUCUCUCAUGUGUGUGAUAGACCCAAAUACUUACGCCAUCUCAGAGUGUGCAUCUGUAGGCACCUGGAUGGGAAGCAUAGGUGGACCCAGUACCGAGCACUGCAGUAUGGGAUGUGGGCAUCCCGAGUGGCAGCUUAACCUGCUGCGCCACAGUGCCUGCCCUGUGUUUAUUCUUUAUACACUCUAAUUAUCCAUGCUGGAUCUCCUUUGCUGGUGGGAGAAUAUGGACAACUCUGAAUCAAUUUUAUUUCCUAAUUUUUAAUUACUUUUUAUUUGAAAGACAAAGAAAGAGAAAGAUCUUGCAUCCACAGGUUUGCUCCCCAACUGCCCAUAUCAGCUGUGGCUGGGCCAAGCCAAAGUCAAGAGCCAAUCCAAGUCUUCCAUGUGGGUGUCAGAGAGCCAAGCACUUGAACUAUCACAUGGAGCCUCCCAGAGUGCACAUCACUAGGAAUGUUGGAAUUGGAAGGGGAGAGAGAACUCGAACCCAGGCACUCCGAUAUGUGAUAUGGACAUCUUAACUGUUGCUCCAAACAUCCCCCUCUCCAAAUCACUUUAAAAUAAUUGGCCAUCAUUUCAGCUCAUAGUGUAUCUUAAAUGCCUGGUAUGCCAGAAUAUUCCCCAGCCAAUGAUACAAAAAAAAAAAAAAGGAAUCAAUAUUUCAAUAUUUCCUUUUGCUUCAUAUGAGCUGAUAAUCUAUACAUAGGAGGCAGCUAACAGAAAAUAUCUUGAUGGGGGCUGGCGCUGUGGCAUAGUGGGUAAAGCCACCACCUUUAGUGCCGGCAUCCCAUAUGGGCACAAGUUUGAGUCCUGGCUGCUCCACUUCCGAUCCAGGUCUCUGCUAUGGUCUGGGAAAACAGUAGAAAAUGGCCCAAGUCCUGGGGCCCCUGCACCUGCAUGGGAGACCAGGGAGAGACUCUUGGCUCCUGGCUUCAGAUUGGUCCAGCUACUGCCAUUGGAGUGAACCACCAGAUGGAAGAUCUCUCCUUCUCUCUGUAACUCUGCCUUUCAAAUAGAUAAAUAAACCUUUUUUAAAAAAAUGGUUUAGGCCGGCGCCGCGGCUCACUUGGCUAAUCCUCUGCCUGCGGCGCCAGCACCCCAGGUUCUAGUCCUGGUUGGGGUGCCAGUUCUGUCCCGGUUGUUCCUCUUCCACUCCAGAUCUCUGCUGUGGCCCGGGAAGGCAGUGGAGGAUGGCCCAAGUGCUUGGGCCCCUGCACCCGCAUGGGAGACCAGGAGGAAGCACCUGGCUCCUGGCUUCGGAUCGGUGCAGCGCACCAGCUGUAGUGCCUCUGGUGGGGUGAACCAACGGAAGGAAGACCUUUCUCUCUGUCUCUCUCUCUCUCUCACUGCCUAACUCUGCCUGUCAAAAAAAAAUGUUUUAAAAAAGAAAAUAUCUUGAUGAAAAGGAGGAGUGUUGAUAUAUGAUUAACUACUAAAAUAAGGAUAAAUGUAUUUGAUGAUAUAGGAUUGAAUUAUGUAACUGAAGACAAAAAAGGCUACUUGUAAAAUCCUGGCUUAUCAGGCUCCAAGGCAGAAAUCUUAUCUUCUCCAUUCAUUUAUAUGCUCACAUUGAUUUUUUUUUUUUUUUUUUUUUUGACAGGCAGAGUGGACAGUGAGAGAGAGAGACAGAGAGAGAAAGGUCUUCCUUUGCUGUUGGUUCACCCUCCAAUGGCCACCGCGGCCGGCGCACCGCGCUGAUCCGAUGGCAGGAGCCAGGAGCCAGGUGCUUUUCCUGGUCUCCCAUGGGGUGCAGGGCCCAAGCACCUGGGCCAUCCUCCACUGCACUCCCUGGCCACAGCAGAGAGCUGGCCUGGAAGAGGGGCAACCGGGACAGAAUCCGGCGCCCCAACCGGGACUAGAACCCCGUGUGCCGGCGCCGCUAGGCGGAGGAUUAGCCUAGUGAGCCGCGGCGCCGGCUCACAUUGAUUUUUGUUUCAACACUCACUGAUAUUAUGUUUGUACUGCACUAACUCAAAUUAUUUCUUUAAAAAUAAUGUAUGAAGGGGCCGGCACUGUGGCACAGCAGGUAAAGCUGCCUCCUGCAGUGCCAGCAUCCCAUAUGGGUGCCAGGUUCGAGUCCUGGCUGCUCUACUUCCUAUCCAGCUCUCUGCUAUGGCCUGGGAAAGCAGUGGAAGGUGUCCCAAGUCCUUGGGCCCCUGUGCCCACGUAGGAGACCCAGAGGAAGCUCCUGGCUCCUGGCUUCCAAUUGGUGAAGCGCUGGCUGUUGCAGUCAUCUGGGAAGUGAACCAGUGGAUGGAAGACCUCUCUCUGCCUCUCCUUUUCUCUCUGUGUAACUCUGACUUUCAUAUAAAUAAAUAAUCUUAAAAAAAGGCCGGCGCCGCGGCUCACUAGGCUAAUCCUCCGCCUAGCGGCGCCGGCACACCGGGUUCUAGUCCCGGUCGGGGCGCCGGAUUCUGUCCCGGUUGCCCCUCUUCCAGGCCAGCCCUCUGCUGUGGCCCGGGAGUGCAGUGGAGGAUGGCCCAGGUGCUUGGGCCCUGCACCCCAUGGGAGACCAGGAAAAGCACCUGGCUCCUGGCUCCUGCCAUCGGAUCAGCGCGGUGCGCCGGCCGCAGCGCGCCGGCCGCGGCGGCCAUUGGAGGGUGAACCAACGGCAAAGGAAGACCUUUCUCUCUGUCUCUCUCUCUCACUGUCCACUCUGCCUGUCAAAAAAAAAUAAAAAUAAAAAAAAAAUAAUAUGUGGAUAUCCUGAUAUAAUUGUAGUUAUAGUAUGGCUCUAUUGGAGACAUAUACAUAGUUGUGUAUAUGGAUGAAAAGAUCUCGAAGAAUAUAUCUCAAAAAGCUGGUAGUGAGUGGUGAUAUUAUCAGUGUUCAUUUUUUCUUUCCACUUCUCAGCAUAAAGCCUUAUUGGGUUGGUUUCCUUUCUGGUCUCCCUUUAGCUGUGACAAUUCUCAGUGACUACUGUCUUCGAAGCCCAUUGUCCCAUUCUUUUUUAUUAAUAGGCUCUUUAAUUUUUAGCUGAGUGCAGAGAUGAUCAGAAUAAAGAUUACAUUUUCCAGCCUCCCUUGAAACUAGCUAUAGCCAUUUGUCUACCUCCUGGUUGAUAGGUUGUAAUUAGACAUGUCAUGUAUGAUUUGGGGGAAGUGUACUUGAGUGGAAGACGUACACUCUCUUUCUUUUCUGCUUACUGGGAAUCAGACAUAAUGGCUACAACUUGAUCAACCCUUUUGUGACUAUGAGAAUAAAGAUCACACCCCAGGGAUGGCAAACUGGAGCCCUAAAAGAAGCGUGGAUCCAGGGGUCAGCGCUGUGGCGAGCAGGCAAAGCUGCCGCCUGCGGCACUGGCAUCCCAUAGAGGCAGCAGUUUGAGUCUUGGCUGCUUCACUUCUGAUCCAACUCCGUGCUAAUGUGCCUGGAAAGUAGUAGAAGAUGGCCCAAGUGCUUAGGUCCCUGCACCCAUGUUGGAGACCUGUAGGAAGCUCCUGGCUCCCGGCUUCGUAUCAGCCCAGCCCUGAGUCAUUGCAGCCAUUUGGGGAGUGAACCAGCAGAUGAAAGACCCCUCUCUCUCUUUCCCUCUUGUAACUCUGUCUUUCAAGUAAAUAAAUAAUUCUUUAAAAGAAUAUAAAAACCCAGCUUCCAAAUAAGUAUAGAAAAGGAGAAGAAAUGUAUAACAUGAUAUAUAUUUUUAAAAGCAGCAUAGAUCCAUGCCAACUUUGUGACCCUUGAUAUGUUAUCCCUGAGCUUCUUGUCUCUGGACGGUUUACAUGAGAACAAUGUGUAUGUCUAAGGCAAAGUGAAUUUGAAUUUUAUGUAAUAGCCAAAUCAAAUCCUAGCUAAAUGGAAUUAGUAUAUGCAGCUGGUCCACAAAAUCUGUGGGUUCUGUGUCUGAGGUUUCAAUUAACCAUGGGUUGAAAAUAUAUUUUUAAUUAUCUCUAUACUAGGGGGUCGGCACUGUGGCACAGCGGGUGAAAGCCCCAGUCUGCAGCGCUGGCAUCCCAUAUGGAUGCCGGUUCAUGUCCUGGCUGCUCCUCUUCUGAUCCAGCUCUCUGCUAUGGCCUGGGAAAACAGUGGGAGAUGGCCCAUGUCCUUGGGCCCCUGCACCCGCAUGGGAGACCCAGAAGAAGCUUCUGGCUCCUGGCUUCAGAUCAGCUCAGCUCUGACUGUUGCGGUCAUUUGGGGAGUGAACCAGUGGAAUGGAAGACCUCUCUCUCUGGCUCUACUACUCCCUGUAACUCCUCUGUCUUUCAAAAUGAAUAAAAUAAUUCUGAAAAAAUUA